UACGUAGGGUGCAAGCGUUAAUCGGAAUUACUGGGCGUAAAGCGUGCGCAGGCGGUUAUGCAAGACAGAUGUGAAAUCCCCGGGCUCAACCUGGGAACUGCAUUUGUGACUGCAUAGCUAGAGUGCGGCAGAGGGAGAUGGAAUUCCGCGUGUAGCAGUGAAAUGCGCAGAUAUCUGGAGGAACACCGGUGGCGAAGGCGGCAUCCUGGACCGGCAUUGACGCUGAGGAGCGAAAGCCAGGGGAGCAAACGGG
rnacentral:rRNA from 1 species